rnacentral:rRNA from 1 species
UUAAAAAGCUCGUAGUUGGAUUUCUGUCGAGGGUGGCCGGUCCGCUUUUUGAGCGUGUAUCUGGUUCGGCCUUGGCAUCCUCUUGGGGAACGUAUCUGUGCUUGAUUGCAUGGUGCGGUAUUCAAGACUUUUACUUUGAGGAAAUUAGAGUGUUCACUGCAAGCGUUAGCUUUGAAUACAUUAGCAUGGAAUAAUAAUAUAGGACCUUGGUACUAUUUUGUUGGUUUCUAGAACUAAGGUAAUGAUUAAUAGGGACAAUUGGGGGCAUUCGUAUUAACACGUCAGAGGUGGAAUUCUUAGAUUGUGUUACGACGAACUACUGCGAAAGCAUUUGCCAAGGAUGUUUUCAUUGAUCAAGAACGAAAGUAUGGGGAUCGAAGACGAUUAGAUACCGUCGUAGUCUAUACCAUAAACUAUGCCAACUAGAGAUUGGAGGUCGUUCUUUUUAUGACUCCUUCAGCACCCUUAUGAGAAAUCAAAGUCUUUGGGUUCCGGGGGGAGUAUGGUCGCAAAGCUGAAACUUAAAGGAAUUGAC